GGGUGAUAAGCAUAAGUGGUAUAUGCGGCUGCCUGUUAAGCAGAGGACAGUAGGUUCGAGUCCUACAUUGCCCG
rnacentral:tRNA from 1 species